UGGGGAAUAUUGCACAAUGGAGGGAACUCUGAUGCAGCGACGCCGCGUGAACGAAGAAGGCUUUCGAGUCGUAAAGUUCUUUUAUAUGGGAAGAUAAUGACGGUACCAUAAGAAAAAGCCACGGCUAACUACGUGCCAGCAGCCGCGGUAAUACGUAGGUCCCGAGCGUUGUCCGGAUUUAUUGGGCGUAAAGCGAGCGCAGGCGGUUAGAAAAGUCUGAAGUGAAAGGCAGUGGCUCAACCAUUGUAGGCUUUGGAAACUGUUUAACUUGAGUGCAGAAGGGGAGAGUGGAAUUCCAUGUGUAGCGGUGAAAUGCGUAGAUAUAUGGAGGAACACCGGUGGCGAAAGCGGCUCUCUGGUCUGUAACUGACGCUGAGGCUCGAAAGCGUGGGGAGCGAACAGG
rnacentral:rRNA from 1 species